CUUGUGUUAGUGUGUAAGUCUCUCUGGAUAAGAGUGUCUGCUAAAUGACUCACA
rfam:Salmo salar isolate Sally breed double haploid chromosome ssa27, whole genome shotgun sequence.